CCUACGGGUGGCAGCAGUGAGGAAUAUUGGUCAAUGGACGAGAGUCUGAACCAGCCAAGUAGCGUGAAGGAUGACUGCCCUAUGGGUUGUAAACUUCUUUUAUGCGGGAAUAAAACGAGUCACGUGUGCUGUUUUGCAUGUACCUUAUGAAUAAGGACCGGCUAACUCCGUGCCAGCAGCCGCGGUAAUACGGAAGGUCCGGGCGUUAUCCGGAUUUAUUGGGUUUAAAGGGAGCGUAGAUGGGAUGUUAAGUCAGUUGUGAAAGUUUGCGGCUCAACCGUGGAAUUGCAAUUGAUACUGGCAGUCUUGAGUACAGGUGAGGUAGGCGGAAUUCGUGGUGGAGCGGUGAAAUGCUUAGAUAUCACGAAGAACCCCGAUUGCGAAGGCAGCUUACUGAAGUGUGACUGACAUUGAAGCUCGAAAGUGUGGGUAUCAAACAGGAUUAGAUACCCGUGUAGUC
rnacentral:rRNA from 1 species